AUGGAAUGGCAGAGCUGUGAAGCAAAGGGUGAGAAGCUGAGGGUGCAAGGCAGAGAUAUAGAACGGCGCAAGAGUGAAGAAACAGAGCAAAACAGUGCUUUGCAUUUUACAUGGGAAAUUAGGAGUGGAGGGAGGAAGAAGAAACAGGAAAAUCCAACUGAAGAAGACAGCGAUGAUGGCAGCCGAGGUAGGAAGAAAGAGAAGAAGAGAGAGUUGAAUGAGGAAGAAGAAACAGAAAAGCCAACUGAAGAGGGAGGACGGCGAUGA